AUUGAACGCUGGCGGCGUGCUUAACACAUGCAAGUCGAUCGGUAACGCGGGGGCAACCCUGGCGACGAGAGGCGGACGGGUGAGGAACGCUUGGGAAUCUGCCUAUCAGCGGGGGACAACACGGGGAAACUCGUGCUAAUACCGCAUACGCUCUACGGAGGAAAGCCGGGGACCGCAAGGCCUGGCACUGAUAGAUGAGCCCAAGCCGGAUUAGCUAGUUGGCGGGGUAACGGCCCACCAAGGCGACGAUCCGUAGCUGGUCUGAGAGGACGAUCAGCCACACUGGGACUGAGACACGGCCCAGACUCCUACGGGAGGCAGCAGUGGGGAAUAUUGGACAAUGGGGGAAACCCUGAUCCAGCGACGCCGCGUGGGUGAAGAAGGCCUGCGGGUUGUAAAGCCCUUUCGGUAGGGACGAAAGCUCUCGACCUAACACGUCUGGAGCUUGACUUAACCUACAAAAGAAGCACCGGCUAACUCUGUGCCAGCCGCCGCCGUAACAC
rnacentral:rRNA from 1 species